rnacentral:rRNA from 1 species
GUACACUCCUACGGGAGGCAGCAGUGGGGAAUAUUGGACAAUGGGCGCAAGCCUGAUCCAGCCAUGCCGCGUGAGUGAUGAAGGCCCUAGGGUUGUAAAGCUCUUUCACCGGUGAAGAUAAUGACGGUAACCGGAGAAGAAGCCCCGGCUAACUUCGUGCCAGCAGCCGCGGUAAUACGAAGGGGGCUAGCGUUGUUCGGAUUUACUGGGCGUAAAGCGCACGUAGGCGGACUAUUAAGUCAGGGGUGAAAUCCCGGGGCUCAACCCCGGAACUGCCUUUGAUACUGGUAGUCUUGAGUUCGAGAGAGGUGAGUGGAAUUCCGAGUGCAGAGGUGAAAUUCGUAGAUAUUCGGAGGAACACCAGUGGCGAAGGCGGCUCACUGGCUCGAUACUGACGCUGAGGUGCGAAAGCGUGGGGAGCAAACAGGAUUAGAAACCCGAGUAGUCCCA